GACGAACGCUGGCGGCGUGCUUAACACAUGCAAGUCGAACGGAAAGGCCCUGCUUUUGUGGGGUGCUCGAGUGGCGAACGGGUUAGUAACACGUUAGUAACCUGCCCUUGACUUUGGUAUAACUUCAGGAAACUGGGGCUAAUACCGGAUAGGAGCUCCUGCUGCUUGGUGGGUUUUGUUAAGUUUCGGCGGUUGGUGAUGGACUCGCGGGUUAUCAGCUUGUUGGUGGUGUAGUGGCUUACCAAGGCUUUGACGGGUAGCCGGCAUGAGAGGGUGACCGGCGACAUUGGGACUGAGAUACGGAACAGAAGGCAACGGGAGGAAGCAGUGGGGAAUAGUGCAAAAUGGGCGGAAGCAUGAUGAAGAAACGCAGCGUGCGGGAUGACGGCCUUCGGGUUGUAAACAGAAGUCGCCUGAGACGAAGCGGGAGUGACGGUAAUGGGUAAAGAAGCAACGGCUAAAUAAGUG
rnacentral:rRNA from 1 species